GCCCAUGUAGAUCAAUGGUAGAUCGCCUCAAACUUGUAUACGGAUAGCGUGGUAACAGGGAGACGGAGGUUCGAGUCCUUCCGUGGGCA